ncrna:unclassified sequences skipping-rope RNA
GAAGUUAAAGGACGGAACAGGCAGCCGUCACCCCUCGCAAGAGGUUAGGAGAUGUGGGAAUUGUCACCCCACUUAAUUUC